UAGAGUUUGAUCAUGGCUCAGAUUGAACGCUGGCGGCAGGCCUAACACAUGCAAGUCGAGCGGCAGCGACUUAACUGAACCUUCGGGGAACGUUAAGGGCGGCGAGCGGCGGACGGGUGAGUAAUGCCUGGGAAUAUGCCCUGAUGUGGGGGAUAACUAUUGGAAACGAUAGCUAAUACCGCAUAAUCUCUUCGGAGCAAAGAGGGGGACCUUCGGGCCUCUCGCGUCAGGAUUAGCCCAGGUGGGAUUAGCUUGUUGGUGAGGUAAUGGCUCACCAAGGCAACGAUCCCUAGCUGGUCUGAGAGGAUGAUCAGCCACACUGGAACUGAGACACGGUCCAGACUCCUACGGGAGGCAGCAGUGGGGAAUAUUGCACAAUGGGGGAAACCCUGAUGCAGCCAUGCCGCGUGUAUGAAGAAGGCCUUCGGGUUGUAAAGUACUUUCAGUAGGGAGGAAGGCAGUGUCGUUAAUAGCGGCAUUGUUUGACGUUACCUGCAGAAGAAGCACCGGCUAACUCCGUGCCAGCAGCCGCGGUAAUACGGAGGGUGCGAGCGUUAAUCGGAAUUACUGGGCGUAAAGCGCAUGCAGGCGGUCUGUUAAGCAAGAUGUGAAAGCCCGGGGCUCAACCUCGGAACAGCAUUUUGAACUGGCAGACUAGAGUCUUGUAGAGGGGGGUAGAAUUUCAGGUGUAGCGGUGAAAUGCGUAGAGAUCUGAAGGAAUACCGGUGGC
rnacentral:rRNA from 1 species